rnacentral:rRNA from 1 species
GAUGAACGCUGGCGGCGUGCCUAAUACAUGCAAGUCGAGCGAACAGACGAGGAGCUUGCUCCUCUGACGUUAGCGGCGGACGGGUGAGUAACACGUGGAUAACCUACCUAUAAGACUGGGAUAACUUCGGGAAACCGGAGCUAAUACCGGAUAAUAUAUUGAACCGCAUGGUUCAAUAGUGAAAGACGGUUUUGCUGUCACUUAUAGAUGGAUCCGCGCCGCAUUAGCUAGUUGGUAAGGUAACGGCUUACCAAGGCAACGAUGCGUAGCCGACCUGAGAGGGGGAUCGGCCACCCUGGAACUGAGACACGGUCCAGACUCCUACGGGAGGCAGCAGUAGGGAAUCUGCCGCAAUGGGCGAAAGCCUGACGGAGCAACGCCGCGUGAGUGAUGAAGGUCUUCGGAGCGUAAAACUCUGUUAUUAGGGAAGAACAAAUGUGUAAGUAACUAUGCACGUCUUGACGGUACCUAAUCAGAAAGCCACGGCUAACUACGUG